rnacentral:rRNA from 1 species
GAUGAACGCUGGCGGCGUGCCUAAUACAUGCAAGUCGAGCGAACAGACGAGGAGCUUGCUGCUCUGACGUUAGCGGCGGACGGGUGAGUAACACGUGGAUAACGUACCUAUAAGAGUGGGAUAACUUCGGGAAACGGGAGCUAAUAGCGGAUAAUAUAUUGAACCGAAUGGUUGAAUAGUGAAAGAAGGUGUUGGGGUAAGGUAUAGAUGGAUCCGCGCCGCAUUAGCUAGUUGGUAAGGUAACGGCUUACCAAGGCAACUAUGCGUAGCCGACCUGAGAGAGUGAUCGGCCACACUGGAACUGAGACACGGUCCAGACUCCUACGGGAGGCAGCAGUAGGGAAUCUUCCGCAAUGGGCGAAAGCCUGACGGAGCAACGCCGCGUGAGUGAUGAAGGUCUUCGGAUCGUAAAACUCUGUUAUUAGGGAAGAACAAAUGUGUAAGUAACUAUGCACUUCUUGACGGUACCUAAUCAGAAAGCCACGGCUAACUACGUG